rnacentral:rRNA from 1 species
GACCCUAAACAGGCCCCCUAAGCACAAAAGUUUGGUCCUAACUUUAAAAUCAGCUUUUCCUUAAUUUAUACAUGCAAGUCUCCCCACCCCCGUGAGGACCCGUCCCCCUCCUACGAGGGUUUAACGGAAAUGGUAUCAGGCACAAAAAUCUGCCCAAAACACCUAACGAUAUGUCACUCCCACAAGGGCUACAGCAGUAAUUAAUAUUGAAUAUAAGUGCCAACUUGAUUCAGUUACAGCAAAAUAGGGCCGGCUAAACUGGUGCCAGCAGCCGCGGCUACACCAGAGACCCGAGUUGAUUUCUAUCGGCGUAAAGCGUGGUUAAAGAUUUUAAAAAUUGGAAUCAAAUGUUAACUAAGCAGUAAUAUGCUUGUUCUCAAGAAGUCUAUAAACGAAAGUUAUUCCAACCACAUUAACUUGAACCCACGAUAGCUGGAACACAAACUAGGAUUAGAUACCCUACUAUGUCCAGCCCUAAACCUUAAAUUACACCUUUAC